rnacentral:tRNA from 1 species
UCCCUUGUGGCUCAGCUGGUAAAGAAUCUGCCUGCAAAGCAGGAGACCCGAGUUCAAUCCCUGGGUUGGGAA